UAGUUGAAUUCAGAUGGAUUAAUUUGCCAAAAUUUAUUGAGCACCUUUGAUUUUUCAGACCCUGUACUUUUGCACCUGGAAGUGCAGGUAGAAAUGAUAAAGAUUUGGUUUUGGUUCAACCUCUGAGAGUUCAAGCCCAGGAUGACUAACUUCAGUCCAAGCCAAUGUAUUUCAUUUGGAAAUCAGAGGAAGUUUUCCUUGACAACCAUAAAAAUAGAUAAGAGUUUUUAAUCUUAAGCAUAAACUUCUUCAAAAAAGCACAAUAAGAGAGCUCUGUGCUGGAGAUGCUGAAAUCAAGAGGAUGACAUUUUCUAUCAAAACCCUUAAAAAUCUAGACAUGUUCAACAACCAUUUGUGGUAAACUUUUAUUAUUUGCUUAUUCAUUAAGGUCUUAACUUGUGCAGUAGAUAUGUUUCUAAAAUAGAAAUUAAAAAAAAAAACACAAUUUAACAGGAAGAGAGUAGACUAGCUGAGAAUCUCUGUUUAUUAGGAAACUUUGCUUGACUUUUGACUGUAAAAUGUUUUAAAUGGAA
rnacentral:lncRNA from 1 species